GUGUCAGCCGCCGCGGUAAUACGUAGGGUGCGAGCGUUAAUCGGAAUUACUGGGCGUAAAGCGUGCGCAGGCGGUUCGUUGUGUUUGUCGUGAAAGCCCCGGGCUCAACCUGGGAAUGGCGAUGAAAACUGGCGAGCUGGAGUGUGGCAGAGGGGGGUGGAAUUCCAGGUGUAGCAGUGAAAUGCGUAGAGAUCUGGAGGAACACCGAUGGCGAAGGCAGCCCCCUGGGCUGACACUGACGCUCAGGCACGAAAGCGUGGGGAGCAAACAGGAUUAGAUACCCCCGUAGUCC
rnacentral:rRNA from 1 species